rnacentral:tRNA from 1 species
AUGAGGAUGGCCAAGCGGUCUAAGGCACCAGCCUCAAGCUCCUGCUUCUCCUGGUCAGCGCUUCUGGUCUCCACCUGGAGGUGUGGGCUCGAAUCCCACUUCUGACC